rnacentral:rRNA from 1 species
AACGAACGCUGGCGGCGUGCUUAACACAUGCAAGUCGAGCGGAAAGGCCCUUCGGGGUACUCGAGCGGCGAACGGGUGAGUAACACGUGAGCAACCAGCCCCUGGCUCUGGGAUAGCCUCCGGAAACGGGGAUUAAUACCGGACACGACCUGGGACCGCAUGGUUUCGGGUGGAAAGUUUUUCGGCCAGGGUGGGGCUCG